rnacentral:rRNA from 1 species
GAUGAACGCUGGCGGCGUGCCUAAUACAUGCAAGUCGAGCGAACAGACGAGGAGCUUGCUCCUCUGACGUUAGCGGCGGACGGGUGAGUAACACGUGGAUAACCUACCUAUAAGACUGGGAUAACUUCGGGAAACCGGAGCUAAUCCCGGAUAAUAUAUUGAACCGCAUGGUUCAAUAGUGAAAGACGGCUUUGCUGUCACUUAUCGAUGGAUCCGCGCCGCAUUAGCUAGUUGGUAAGGUAACGGAUUACCAAGGCAGCGAUGCGUAGGCGACCUGAGAGGGUGAUCGGCCACACUGGAACUGAGACACGGUCCAGACUCCUACGGGAGGCAGCAGUAGGGAAUCUUCCGCAAUGGGCGAAAGCUUGACGGAGCAACGCCGCGUGAGUGAUGAAGGUCUUCGGAUCGUAAAACUCUGUUAUUAGGGAAGAACAAAUGUGUAAGUAACUAUGCACGUCUUGACGGUACCUAAUCAGAAAGCCACGGCUAACUACGUG